rnacentral:rRNA from 1 species
UACGGAGGGGGCGAGCGUUAUUCGGAAUUAUUGGGCGUAAAGGGCGCGUAGGCGGCUUGAUGUGUCAAAGGUGAAAUCCCUCGGCUCAACCGGGGAACUGCGUCUGAUACUGGGUGGCUUGAAUCCGGGAGAGGGAUGCGGAAUUCCAGGUGUAGCGGUGAAAUGCGUAGAUAUCUGGAGGAACACCGGUGGCGAAGGCGGCAUCCUGGACCGGCAUUGACGCUGAGGCGCGAAAGCCAGGGGAGCAAACGGG